UGCUAAAUAUGGUAAGAUAGAAAUAUGCAUCAUGAAAAUAGACUCCUUGAAAAAAAUAAGCAGAAGGUACAAAAAAUUAUAUAGGGAAGGUUGAGAACUGCUCAUGGUACAGUUAUCUUCUAAGAGCUCUAAGCUCCCAGGGUUCCGAGCCUUUGUGGGCGUUCUGAACGUUGCUGUCAUGGGGCCUACCGGAUGGUGAAUUAGCGUUUGCCUACGAUGGAGCUUUCCUACCGACUCCAGCCGAACAGACUACAGAGAACCGAUUGGAUUGAUCCCAAAAGGAAAAACUCGAUGGAUCCCCUCAUCCCUUCACCCUAUCCUUGUCGGCGCUGCUGCCUAGGGGCAACUUGAUCUGGCCACCAUGGCUGGGCAUCGGCAGAGCAAUUGGAAGAAUCUGGAGCUCGGCAAAACGGACAGCCGGCUCGGCACUUCUACAGACGUGAAGAGGGCAUGUCAUCGACAACAAUUCGUCGUCGUCUCCCUAGACCCCCCACGACCUCACCAAGCGGAGGUACACCACGAUCAUGGCACUGUGGGAUGCAGCCGCUGAGCAGUUUGAUGCCGAUGCUCUUAUCCAGAGGAGUUGGCAAGAGCCUGUGAUUGUGUUGGCUAUUGGGUGCACCUUCAAGCUGCAAGAUUGUAUAUGUCCCCAUAUUAGCCAUUUUGUGCCUUUGGUUUGUGGCAAUGCUUAGAGAAGCCUAUCCAGGAUACCUGAUUCUUAUUUGAUCAUUUGUUUUAUCUUCUUUCCGGCGAUGCUUCCACUGACUGCUAGCUAUGGAUUGUUGAAGCUUGUUCUAAAGAAACAUGGUAUGGUAUCUAAAACUGCAUAUUUGAGCUGGUGGUUCCAGUAUAACAACUGCUUUGAAGUUGUUACCUAUGAUACACUGAUGAUAUGGUAAGGUGGGACUUACUAGGCAAAUGGGUAAACUAAAGCAGACAUGAAGUAGUGACAUGGUAGAAAUGAUAUUUCUACUAUAUAAGUACCAUGUCUACAUUGUUGGCUAGCUUAUUAACUUUGAAUAUAUUGCCCUUCAAUCACACGAAUGAGUUUCUUUCUUUCACUAUUGUUGGUUGUUACUACGCACAUUUACAACAUGAUCCCGGUUGCUCAAGGGAUUAUAUACUGUCCUUAUACUGAAGGAUUAUUGUUUCUAAAGAAGAGGUUAGCUUUCUGCUGAAAAUGCAUAUCUCAGAUAGAUAACUAAUCCCUUCAAAUGAUAGCAGGGUAGUUUGCUCUUUACUUGCAGGAAAACAAAUAAUAAAUAGACUAUCCUGUUGGUUCUUGUCCUUUUUAUUUUAGAUUUUGGUUUCAGUUUUUUAUGAUUGUGUUGCUAAUCUAUUUACAUGCACUAGAUUUUUCAUGUUGCAAAAUGAUCUGAAGUUGACUUCGAUGACAUCCAAGCUAGGGAGGUAGAAGCAACAAAGGUAAUAUGACGGGCAAUAUUAAACAAAUCCACCACCAGUCUUUCUUGGCACUGCCAUCUUAGAAUAUUUACUUUAACCUUUGGAUAUAAAAGGGACUCAUAGAGAUGAUGAUGCGGAAGACACUUGUUGUUAUAAAAAGAACCAUUUGUCUUAGUGAAGUUAGAGUUUCAUGCAAAUUUUAGAAUAUUUCCCAGUUUGUUGCUCCUUUUGACGUUGUAUAUUGAAUUGGUUUGGAAAAUAAUUGCAAAUGAAACUGUAAACAUUGUAUGAUAUUGUACUGCCAUUUUUUGGGCAAUUAUUGUACUGAACUAUGACUUAUGAGCUGAAUAAUUCUAUUCAUAAA